rnacentral:rRNA from 1 species
GUCUAUGGCCAUACCACCCUGAAUGUGCCCAAUCUCAUCUGAUCUUGGAAGCUAAGCAGGGUCGCCUGGUUAGUACUUGGAUGGGAGACAUAAUGCAGGCAAAACAGUCAUCCACA